AUAUCUCUCUGUACGGGAAGGAUGAGAAGCUUCGACUAAGGUUCGAUUCGAGCGUCAGCGAGAAAGCGUUGCCGCAGGCAACGACCCGAAGGGCGAAG
rnacentral:sRNA from 1 species